CUGUGGGUGAUUAGGCCAUGCUUCUACUCAGAUGGAGUGGGCAAGUUCCAGGACCGGUCUUACCGUGUUCCAGAUGUCCGGACUCCAAGCGCCGAUGCCUUCUCGGUGUUCAGCCACUGAGUGGAUCCUCCACGGGGCCCUGUCGUGCACUGCUCUGAGUUGAGAAAACCCUUCUUUCAAGUUAUUUGCAGCUUUUAACAGUUGGAUAAAGUAAACUCUUGGCACCACUGGAGAAACUGGUUAUUGUACCAAGGCUCUGACUGGAAUGGCAUACUUUCAGAUGGAAACAGACUAAGGAAUCAAAGUUGACUUAUACAGCCAAUAAAACCCCCCUUGGGAAAACUGGCUUCACACUUUGUCUACACAGUCUCUGUGCAGGGUUUCCUGAUCUGUAAGUAACGAAUGUCAUUUUUCUGAUAGGCCCAGGGGCUCAAAGUUAUUUUGGCCCCUCAAGAGGGUAGGAAUUCACUCAAAUCCAUAGAAGUAUUUCUGGGCACAGAUAAAUCUGUGGCUGGGCUUUAGGCUUAAAAAAAAUCUAAUCUAAAAUUCCUUAUGGAUCAAAGUUCAGCAAAGUAAUUUUAAAAACAGCCUAUAUGGCAAAUAAUCGUUCUUGCUGCAUUUUAUGCAAAUACUCAGACCAAGUAUAACAAGACA